UCUCUAUUGGCCCAAUGGCAAGGCGUCUGACUACGAUUCAGGAGAGUGCAGGUUCGACCCCUGGAUGGAUCA